rnacentral:rRNA from 1 species
GACGAACGCUGGCGGCGUGCUUAACACAUGCGAGUCGAACGGAAAGGCCCUGCUUUUGUGGGGUGCUCGAGUGGCGAACGGGUGAGUAACACGUGAGUAACCUGCCCUUGACUUUGGGAUAACUUCAGGAAACUGGGGCUAAUACCGGAUAGGAGCUCCUGCUGCAUGGUGGGGGGUGGAAAGUUUCGGCGGUUGGGGAUGGACUCGCGGCUUAUCAGCUUGUUGGUGGGGUUGUGGCUUACCAAGGCUUUGACGGGUAGCCGGCCUGAGAGGGUGACCGGACACAUUGGGACUGAGAUACGGCCCAGACUCCUACGGGAGGCAGCAGUGGGAAAUAUUGCACAAUGGGCGGAAGCCUGAUGCAGCAACGCCGCGUGCGGGAUGACGGCCUUCGGGUUGUAAACCGCUUUCGCCUGUGACGAAGCGUGAGUGACGGUAAUGGGUAAAGAAGCACCGGCUAACUACGUG